rnacentral:rRNA from 1 species
CCCUUAGAUGUUCUGGGCUGCACGCGCGCUACACUGCUGCAAUUAACGGGUUUUCUGUGCCGAAAGGCUUGGGGAAUCCUUUGAAUAUGCGGCGUGAUGGGGAUAGAAUAUUGUAAUUAUUACUCUUCAACGAGGAAUUCCUAGUAAGCGCGGGUCAGCAGCCCGCGCUGAUUACGUCCCUGCCCUUUGUACACACCGCCCGUCGCUCCUACCGAUUGAAUGAUUUAGUGAGGACUUCGGACUGGGACCGAUGCGGCUUUCGGGCUGCGUCGGUAUUCUGGAAAGAUGUCCAAACUGUAUCAUUUAGAGGAAGUAAAAGUCGUAACA